rnacentral:sRNA from 2 species
CCUUUGGGGAGUAGCCGCUUGUCCUAACAAGACCACCGUCAACACAUUUGAAGCACAUCUUCAUGGCGUUGGUGACUCACACAAUCCCUACACGUGAGUUUGGCGAGACCAUUGGUAAACCAGCAUGAACCGGGGUGGGGCGUGCCUGUUUACCUGUGGUUUUUUGUU